GUGGGGAAUAUUGGGCAAUGGGGGAAACCCUGACCCAGCGACGCCGCGUGAGGGAAGACGGCCUUCGGGUUGUAAACCUCUUUUGUACGGGAAGAAGGAAGUGACGGUACUGUACGAAUAAGUCCCGGCUAACUACGUGCCAGCAGCCGCGGUAAUACGUAGGGGACGAGCGUUGUCCGGAAUUACUGGGCGUAAAGGGCGCGCAGGCUGUGCUGCAAGUCAGCUGUGAAAUGUCUGGGCUUAACCCGGGCAUGCGGUUGAGACUGCAGUGCUGGAGUGCUGUAUAGGCAAGUGGAAUUCCCAGUGUAGCGGUGAAAUGCGUAGAUAUUGGGAAGAACACCGGUGGCGAAGGCGACUUGCUGGGCAGCAACUGACGCUGAGGCGCGAAAGCCAGGGGAGCAAACGGGAUUAGAAACCCGAGUAGUCC
rnacentral:rRNA from 1 species